AUGUCUCACCUAAAUGCUACAGCUCUCAAAGUCACUUUGCUUCUUGUUCACAAUAAGCCAUUACCAAAUAACGGGUACCCAUUCCGAUGGGAACUUUUUCGUCAGGACCCUCCCAGAAGGGAGCCUCAUGGUAGAACCAAACUGAAGACUAGCAGAACUAGCAAUGGUAAGGUAACAGACCUGCAGACUAUCAGAGACUACUCCAUUCUUGUUCCUGGUGACAUAAUCAGCAUUAAACUUGGAGACAUUCUUCCAGCAGAUGCCCGUCUCCUCGAUGGUGAUCCAUUGAAAAUUGAUCAGUCAUCACUUACAGGUGAGUCACUUCCUGUGACCAAAAGCCCUGGUGACAGUGUGUAUUCUGGUUCUACAUGCAAACAAGGAGAGAUUGAAGCGGUGGUCAUUGCCACUGGUGUUCAUACCUUUUUCGGCAAGGCUGCGCACCUUGUCGAUAGCACGAAUCAACAGGGUCAUUUUCAACAGGUCUUGACUGCAAUUGGGAAUUUCUGUAUAUGUUCCAUCGCUGUGGGAAUGAUCAUAGAGAUCAUAGUCAUGUACCCAAUACAACACCGGAGUUACCGCCCUGGUAUUGACAACCUGCUUGUGCUACUUAUCGGAGGAAUUCCCAUUGCCAUGCCCACAGUUUUAUCUGUGACAAUGGCUAUUGGUUCCCACUGGUUGGCUGAGCAGGGUGCUAUCACUAAACGGAUGACGGCAAUUGAAGAAAUGGCAGGCAUGGAUGUUCUUUGCAGUGACAAAACUGGGACUCUGACAUUGAAUAAGCUUACAGUUGACAAGACUCUUCUAGAGGUCUUUGUUAAAGGGGUGGACGUAGAUACUGUUGUUCUAAUGGCAGCUCGAGCAUCCCGGAUUGAAAAUCAAGAUGCAAUAGAUGCUGCUAUUGUGGGAAUGUUGGCCGAUCCAAAGGACCUUGGUUUCAUGCUACUGGCACUCACAUGGCACUUCGACUUCCCACCCUUCAUGGUUCUGAUCAUUGCUAUUCUCAAUGAUGGUACUAUAAUGACAAUUUCAAAGGAUAGAGUGAAACCCUCUCCUAUGCCAGACAGUUGGAAACUUGCGGAGAUCUUUACCACCGGGUAUCAUCCUGGGUAGUUACUUAGCAGUUAUGACGGUCAUUUUCUUUUGGGCAGCAUACGAUACAGACUUCUUCCCUCGUCACUUUGGGGUUCCAAGCCUUCAUAGAAAGGAUAAUGACAACUAUAGGAAGCUUUCUGCUGCAGUGUACCUGCAAGUGAGUACCAUCAGUCAGGCUCUCAUAUUCGUCACCCGGGCACGUAGUUGGUCUUUCCUCGAGCGACCUGGUCUUUUACUUGUAGCAGCUUUUGUUAUUGCUCAGCUGAUUGCUACACUUAUCGCUGUGUAUGCCGAUUGGAGUUUCGCUGCGAUAGAGGGAAUUGGGUGGGGUUGGGCUGGUGUUGUUUGGUUAUAUAACCUCGUCUUCUAUCUUCCACUUGAUAUCGUCAAGUUCAUCAUCCGAUACGCACUGAGUGGGAGAGCCUGGGAUGAUCUCGUAUUUGAGCAGAGGAUUGCCUUCACAAGAAAGAAGAAUUUCAGAAAGGAAGAAAGGGAGCUCAGAUGGGCACACGCCCAGAGGACUCUCCAUGGUCUGCAACUGCCGGACACCAAAAAAGUUUGGUGAACGCAAUUCUUACACAGAACUUAAUCAGAUGGCUGAAGAGGCAAAAAGACGAGCAUAAAUUACCAGGCUGAGGGAGUUGAACACCCUGAAAGGGCAUGUCGAAUCAGUGGUGAGGAUGAAGGGCCUAGACAUCGACACAAUUCAGCAAUCAUACACUGUUUACGAUGCACUUCAGCAAACAUACACUGUCUAA